ACUCUUGCGCAGCAACAGUAUGAAAGAACAGUGUCGCAUCAGUGUCAAUGAGCUGCAUGUUGCUGUGGAUAAACCUCUCUGUAGCUGCAAAUGCCCUGAUGGUCACCACACCAAGAAUUGACUCCGAUGCAUAGUUCAUGACAGGUGCCUUUGUCGUUCCAUUGAUUCUUACUAGCUCUCUAGCUGAGGAUAUGUAGUACCUCUUCAUAUUUCAAAACCACGUGUUAGCUCAAAAACACUCAGCAUAUAUUUAUUUUAACUAACUAGAGUGAUUUCUUGCAGCAUUGUUCACUGACCUGAACAUAUACCAUUGCGAUUGUAACUGGGAUCGCUACAACCAAGACUUGCCAAGUUACAGUACCCAUGACCAGUACCGUUGUGACAACCUCGAUCCCGCCAGUAACAACAAAGGCCAUGGAGUAAGGUAUGUCGAAAUCCAGAAUGCUUAAAUCUGAAGAUGCCUGCACAGAACAGCACUUGUAUUUGAAGUUCUCUUUUCUGAAAACUUAGCGCAGCAUUUAUGAUCUUGUUUGUACAAAACAUGGUUAAAUAAAAUAAAAUCCCUACCCUUGUUAAAAUUCUUCCCACUGGUGUCGAGUCAAAAAAUGACAUGGGAGCCUUAAAUACAGAAUCCAUUAGCCCGCUGAAGAAUGCUUUGGAGGCCUUGAGCCCCAGAAUAGCUGCGAAAAGACUUCUAAAGUAUGCAAAGAAGCAGCUGAAGAUAGAAAGGCCAGAAUAGGCCCCAACUAGGAGUGCAGCACUGAUGUUAUCCAUCU
rnacentral:lncRNA from 1 species